GCUGUGAUGGCUGAGUGGUUUAGGUGUUGGACUUGAAAUCCAAUGGGGUUUCCCCGUGCAAGUUCAAAUCCUGCUCACAGUG